CUCAUUUAGGGCGGAUCCCCAUGGGGCACGGUCUUCGUUGAAAAAAAAUAGACAUCUCUCUCCGCUAUUGUCGUUCCUCUUUCCCUUCUCUUUAUUCUUUCUUUUUUCUUCAUUUUCCCUCCCCCACCCUGCUCUUUGCAUCUCCGUUGGCGUCGCCUUCCACUGCAUUAGGGGAGCUAUCUAGAGGGAGGAAUAGAAGCAAAUAACUAAAGAGAAGAGCAAGAGAAGAAGAGAGCAAAAAUGAGGGAAAGAAGCUAGCUUUGGUGGUGGUGUUGAUGAUGAUGAUAUUUACGAGUUAUUUAGCUCAAUUCAUCCCGAACGAUGAAUGUCGAUUUGAGGAAAAUGAAGACGAUAACGAUCUACUUCGCCUCUUCUCUGACGGUAGCAACGACACCCCGAGAAAAAUGAUGAAAGCGGCACCGCCGCGCCCCUCAUGUUUUGGAAAUUUCUGUGGUGGUGGACUACUCCCCUGUGCUGCACCUUGUGAAUGCAACAUUCCAAUGGGUGCAACAAGGGGAUAUUGUGUUGACUUUUAAUUCCUUCCAUGUUACAUUAUUAUGUAAGCUUAACUAUUUGCUUUCAUGUCAUGAAUCACUACAAAUAAUAUAAAUAAAGUGGAAGGGGUCAGUAAGAACUGAUCUUUUGCUGGUUAUCAAAUA